rnacentral:rRNA from 1 species
UGGGUAAUCUGCCCUGCACUCGUGGGAUAAGCCUGGGAAACUGGGUCUAAUACUGGAUAUGACCUUUCUCCUUAUGGGGUUUGGUGGAAAGUUUUUUCGGUGUAGGAUGAGCCCGCGGCCUAUCAGCUUGUUGGUGGGGUGAUGGCCUACCAAGGCGACGACGGGUAGCCGGCCUGAGAGGGUGAUCGGCCACAUUGGGACUGAGAUACGGCCCAG